rnacentral:tRNA from 1 species
GCGGAAGUAGCCAAGUGGUUAAGGCUAGGGAUUGCAAACCCCUGAAUGUGAGUUCGAAUCUCACCUUCUGCU